UGUGUUGCUUACCUACGGAAAGGAAUUCGAUCGUACCGUUGCCCUUUUCCGCCUGAUUCCUUUUGCGGGUGUGGGGUGGACGCUAGGCAUGCANCGUGUUCCUCGCAUGACCUGNAUUUUUGUGGGGCUGUUGAGGUGCAUGGAGCUGUUGCCUGUUCUCUCGGAUGCGGAAUGUCACGCAUGGGUGCGGGGUCUUGGCCUUUGCUCACCCAAGCUACGCAUUUGUCCCUUGACACGAACGACUGCUGCGGUNGCCUUGAUCCCGUCGUAGCCUANGUGCUUCAUCGGNCUCAUGCUNCUGUCGGCGUCGUCNANGAAUGCUACCUGGUUGAUCCUGCCAGUANUCAU
rnacentral:misc_RNA from 1 species